AAAAACUUGCGCAGAUGCGAGUGGAGCGACGACAUGGCCCGUUCAUACAUUCCGGCCAUGCUGAUGGCCACCAGCUUGCUGCUCAUGGCUGCUUCAUCUCCUGCCCCGAGCAACAACACCGACCUUGCCCGCUGCUGGCUUUCAAAUCCCAGCUCUCCGACCCUUUGGCUAUCAUUGCCAAUAACUGGACAACCGGUGCGUCCUUCUGCACCUGGAUCGGUGUGUUGUGCAGCCGGCGUCAGCACCAGCGUGUCACCGCUUUGGAGCUGCCGGACAUUCCCCUCCAAGAAGAGCUCAGCCCUCACCUCGGUAACCUCUCUUUCCUCCACACCCUUAACCUGACCAAUACGAACCUCACCGGUUCUAUCCCAGCUGAUCUUGGAAGAUUAGCCCGUCUUAGGUACCUUGAUCUUGGCCACAAUAGCCUGUCGGAUACAAUCCCGUCUACCGUUGGAAACCUCACCAGGCUUCAGUUUCUGGUCCUAAAUUUCAACCAGCUCUUGGGGCAGAUCCCCGGUGAGGUGCGAAACAUGCGUAGCCUUAGCUACUUCUCUCUCGGAAUAAAUUCCAUUACUGGCCUCAUGCCGAAUUUUUCAUUUGACAGCACGCCUUCACUGAGACACAUAUACAUUAACAACAACAGUCUAUCCGGCCCAAUACCUUCUGGUAUUGGCUCCUUGCUCAUGCUCCAGGUUCUUUACUUGAGGCGUAACCAGCUCUCCGGUCCAAUACCUCCUACCAUCUUCAACAUGUCUAGGAUUGUUGACUUGCGUCUGGGGAACAACAAUCUAACAGGUCAUAUACCUAGCAACAGAAGCUUUAGUCUCCCCAUGUUGCAAAUAUUUGAUCUCUACCGGAACAACUUCGGGGGUCAAAUUCCAUUGGGCCUUGCAUCAUGCCAGCAUCUUAGGAUACUUACCAUUCCUGGAAAUCUAUUCGUGGAUGUGGUGCCAACAUGGCUGGCUACGCUACCAGAGCUUACGGCGAUUUCUAUGGGAGGCAAUGACCUCGUUGGCCUGAUCCCGCCUGUGCUCGGCAAUCUCACCAUGCUCAGCGUACUUGACAUCGCAAACUCCAACUUAAGCGGAGAUAUUCCCGUGGAAUUAGGAGAACUGAGACAACUCAAUUAUCUGCACCUUUCGCACAAUCAACUAACAGGCCCCUUCCCGGAAUUUCUAGGAAAUUCGACAAAAAUGUAUUUCUUAAAUUUGAGAAUGAAUCAACUGACUGGACCAGUACCAUCAACACUUGGAAACAACAAACCUCUUCUGAUUCUUAGUAUUCAAGACACUGUUCAAGAAGGCGCUAUUAGGCGCUCGCCUAGGCGCGCUUAAGCGCUGGGCGUUGGCAUAGCGCCUCGCUUUGGCCCUAGGCGCUCAAAAAAGCGGCCGGCGAGGUCCUCCGGCGAGAAAUCAGCCUCUCCGGCGAGGAAUCAGCUUUCUGAGGUGAGAAAUCAGUCUCCCCGGCGAGGAUUCGACCUCCCCUGCGAGGAUUCAUCCUCGCCGACGAGGGAUUCAACUGCCCCGACGACAAAUCGAGCUUCUCCGGCGAGGGAUUGAGCUUCUCCGGCAAGGGAUCGAGCUUCUCCGACAAGGGACAGAGGAAGAGGGAGGGAGGCAGCCUCGUGCAACGAGACAGAAAGGACGAGGGGGGGAGGCGGCGUGAGGAGGAAACCUAAAUUUCCUAUCGACUGCAGCAGACGAGAGCUUUUAGUAGGAGGAUACGAAGAUGGGCCUAUGGUUUAGUGGGCUAGCCCAGCCCAUCUAGCUUAUUUCUUCACGUUACAGUACUAACGCCUAAUUGCGCCUAAUUGCGUCUAAUCAUGCCUAAGCUAGAAAAGCGCAAGUAGGUGCCCAAACGCAUAAUUAGUGCCUAGCGCUUUUUUGAACUUUGAUUCAAGAUAACCGUCUCCAAGGGGAUCUUAGUUUCUUGUCCAGCCUUUGCAAUUGUCGCCAACUUCAAUACCUCACCAUAUCAAAUAAUCUUUUCACUGGGAGUAUUCCCAACUAUUUUGGUAACCUCUCGACUAACCUGGUAGUAUUUGAAGCAUUGAAUAACAAUUUGGUUGGUGGGCUUCCAGAAACACUGUCAAAUCUUAGUAGUCUUCGUAAGAUAAACUUUGCCAACAACCAUCUUACCAAAGAAAUACCAGAAACCCUCUCUAAGUUGGAGAAUCUCCAAGCACUUGAUCUCUCAGGAAAUAGAAUGGUUGGCCCAAUCCCUGUACAAAUUGGUAUGCUGAGAAGUAUUGUAGAGUUACAACUCUGGGACAAUAUGUUAUCUGGCUCCAUACCAGAUGCCAUGGGCGACCUCACCAUGUUAGAGUACACUUCAUUUUCUUAUAACCGUUUAUCUUCGUCAAUUCCAUCAAGCUUAUUUUAUCGUAGUAACCUUAUCCAACUAGAUCUGUCCCAUAAUUCCCUAACCGGUACAUUACCUUCUGAUCUUAGCCAUAUGCAAACUAUGGACUGGAUAGAUCUUUCUGGUAACCUCUUGUCUGGUAGCCUUCCAAGUUCAUUUGGACAGGUUGCCAUGUUAUUAACCUACCUAAAUCUUUCGCACAACUCAUUUAAGGGUUUAGUCCCAAACUCUUUCGGCCGCUUAACCAACUUAGAAACAUUGGACCUAUCGUCAAACAACCUUUCAGGUACAAUACCAGACUACCUCGCCAACUUCACCUACCUUUCUUCUCUGAACCUCUCCUUCAAUGGGUUAGAAGGGCAAAUACCAAAUGGAGGUGUUUUCUCAAACCUCACCUUGCAAUCUUUGAUGGGGAAUGUUGGGCUAUGUGGUGCUCCUCGUCUAGGACUGUCACCGUGUCCGCACAAGUCUCACUUGACUUAUAGUCGACACAUCCUCAAGUUUAUACUCCCGGUUGCCAUCAUUGGAGUUGGUGCAUUUGCAACCACCAUGUACCUAAUGGUCAGCAAGAAAAAUAAGAAACAAUAUUAUGGUACGGCUUCUACUAGCAUGACUGAUCUGAUCAGCCAUAGGUUAGUAUCCUACCAUGAGAUUGCUCGUGCCACUGAAAAUUUCAAUGAGGACAACCUACUUGGUACUGGAAGUUUUGGCAAAGUUUCAAGGGCCAAUUAGAUGAUGGUUUGGUGGUUGCAAUAAAAGUGCUCAAUAUGCAAGUCGAGCAGGCCGUGAGGAGUUUUGAUGCUGAAUGUCAAGUGUUGCGCAUGGCUCGACAUCGCAACUUGAUACAAAUAUUGAAUGCAUGUUCCAGCUUGGAUUUCAAGGCACUGCUCCUUCAGUACAUGCCCAAUGGUAGCAUGGAGACACACUUGCACAACGAAAUAAGGGAACCACUAAGAUUCAUCCAGAGAUUGGACAUUAUGCUUGCCGUGUCAGAGGCAAUGGAGUACCUGCACCAUCAUCAUUUCCAAGUUGUCUUGCACUGCGAUCUGAAGCCUAGCAACGUGUUGUUCGAUGACGACAUGACGGCGCAUGUUGCCGACUUUGGCAUUGCAAAGUUACUUCUACAUGAUGACAACUCCAUGGUUUCAGCAAGUAUGCCGGGGACAAUUGGGUACAUGGCCCCUGAGCUAGCAUUCAUGGGAAAGGCAUCACGAAAGACUGACAUGUUCAGCUUCGGGAUCAUGUUGCUUGAAGUCUUCACAGGGAAGAGGCCCACGGACGCUAUGUUCGUCGGGGAAUCUAGCCUCAGGUGGUGGGUUUCGCAAGCAUUUCCAGCAAAGCUCGUUGAUGUUUUGGAUGAGAAGCUACAACAGGGUGAAGAAAUGAACCUUGCCUUCCAUCACCAAACAAUUAAUACUUCGUCGCCGUCAUCCUCCAUUGCCUGCAAUGGAAACUUUCUUGUGUCGAUAUUCGAACUGGGUCUAGAGUGUUCGGACGACUCUCCUAGUCGGAGAGCAAGCAUGAGCGACGUGGUCGUGAGGCUCAAAAACAUUAAGAAGGAUUACUUUGCUUUCAUGGUGGCAACUCAAAGCGCGCAACAAAGUUCAUGAGAUAAUGUUUUAGUGCAUCUAUGUAGUGCAUAAUUUUCAGUUUUCCACUAAAAAUAUUUAUAUGGUAGUUAUUUUAAGAAAAUAACAAUACACUGGUGGAAAGAGGAUUUUCUGCAACGGUGCAAGUAAUAUUCGCUCUCCUCUUCAUUUUUUUUCUGAUUCUCAAAAAAUGUGAAAUAAUUCAGGAAUGUUAGUAGUGCUAUGUAAUGUGUACUUGUAAAGAUUCAUCCAAUAAUGUAACGAUUUGUGAUUUAGACAAAAAUGACAAGAUUAAAUUGAAUAGUGUGUUUGUAUC